GAAACAGUGGCUAAGACUGGAUAGGAAGAUAAAAGGCAUCUUUUAUCUUUUAAAAGACCUAGUAAUAGGUAUGCUUUAGGAGGGGCUUGCGCCAUAUUAGUUAGUUGGUAGGGUAAUGGCCUACCAAGACGAUGAUGUGUAGCUGGACUGAGAGGUUGAACAGCCACAUUGGGACUGAGACACGGCCCAAACUCCUACGGGAGGCAGCAGUAGGGAAUUUUCGGCAAUGGAGGAAACUCUGACCGAGCAACGCCGCGUGAAUGACGAAGUACUUCGGUAUGUAAAGUUCUUUUAUCAAGGAAGAAAAGCAAAUGGCGAACCAUUUGUUUGCCGGUACUUGAUGAAUAAGCCCCGGCUAAUUAUGUGCCAGCAGCCGCGGUAAGACAUAAGGGGCAAGUGUUAUCCGGAAUUAUUGGGCGUAAAGGGUGCGUAGGCGGUCUAGUAAGUCAGUGGUGUAAUGGCAACGCUUAACGUUGUCCGGCUAUUGAAACUGCUAAACUUGAGUUAGAUAGAGGCGAGUGGAAUUCCAUGUGUAGCGGUAAAAUGCGUAAAUAUAUGGAGGAACACCAGAGGCGUAGGCGGCUCGCUGGGUCUUAACUGACGCUGAGGCACGAAAGCGUGGGGAGCAAACAGGAUUAGAUACCCUGGUAGUCCACGCCGUAAACGAUGAGUACUAAGUGUCGGGUUAAACCGGUACUGAAGUUAACACAUUAAGUACUCCGCCUGAGUAGUACGUACGCAAGUAUGAAACUUAAAGGAAUUGACGGGACUCCGCACAAGCGGUGGAUCAUGUUGUUUAAUUCGAAGAUACCCGAAAAACCUUACCAGGUCUUGACAUGUUUUUGCAAAAUGAUAGUAAUAUCGUGGAGGUUACCAGAAACACAGGUGGUGCAUGGUUGUCGUCAGCUCGUGUCGUGAGAUGUUAGGUUAAGUCCUAAAACGAGCGAAACCCUUAUCGUUAGUUGCCAGCACGUUAUGGUGGGGACUUUAACGAGACUGCCAAUGAUAAAUUGGAGGAAGGUGAGGAUCACGUCAAAUCAGCAUGCCCCUUAUGACCUGGGCUACAAACGUGAUACAAUGGCUGUUACAAAGGGUAGCUGAAACGCAAGUUCUUGGCCAAUCCCCAAAAACAGUCCCAGUCCGGAUUGAAGUCUGCAACUCGACUUCAUGAAGUUGGAAUCGCUAGUAAUCGCGAAUCAGCAUGUCGCGGUGAAUACGUUCUCGGGGUUUGUACACCACCGCCCGUCA
rnacentral:rRNA from 1 species